GCGCUCGUAGCUCAGCUGGAUAGAGUGUUGGCCUCCGAAGCCAAAGGUCGCUGGUUCGAUUCCAGUCGAGCGCGCCA
rnacentral:tRNA from 1 species